rnacentral:rRNA from 1 species
UACAGAGGGGGCAAGCGUUAUUCGGAAUUAUUGGGCGUAAAGGGCGCGUAGGCGGCCUGGCAAGUGGAAGGUGAAAUCCCUCGGUUCAACUGAGGAACUGCCUUUGAAACCGUCGGGCUUGAGGCCGGGAGGGGGUAGCGGAAUUCCCAGUGUAGCGGUGAAAUGCGUAGAUAUUGGGAGGAACACCAGUGGCGAAGGCGGCUACCUGGACCGGUUCUGACGCUGAUGCGCGAAAGCGUGGGUAGCAAACAGG